GAGUGGAGAAUAAAGGGUCAGCAUAUGAAGGUACAGACUCUGAUGUUGUUCCAAGUGAUGAAGCCACUAUGAUUGGUGAUGCCCCAUAUUUUGCACACACUACAUAUGACAGAGACAACCCUGACAUAAAAGAAGGAUCAACAUUUGCUGAUAAAGAUGCAUUCAUGCUGAUUAUGAAACAAUAUGCCGUAAAAAGGGAGUUUCAUAUAAUGGUAGUGCAUAGUGACAAAUCAAGGUAUAGAGCAAGAUGUGCAGACUUACAGUGUGAAUGGAAAGUGUAUGCAAAGAAACUUCUUGGCUGCCCUACAUUCAUGUGGACACAAUUAGAGGGCUCAUCAUGGAAAAGAUAGCGAUGAGGUAGCACAUAGCCGACCGACUUGAAGGGCCAAUUCUUCCUAGUGUUAUCAAUGAGCUGAAAAUGAAGAGUAGAAACUUGAAGUACACGAUUAGGCGGAGUGGUGGACUAAAGGCUGAGGUAUCUGGAUUGACCAAGGACAACUAUCCUUGGAGGCAUGCUGUGGAUCUUGAGAUGAAAACAUGCUCAUGCGGCCAGUGGCAGAUUUCUGUUAAACCUUGCACCCAUGCUAUCUCUUUCAUAGGUUCGCUGAGAAAGGUUAAACUAGAGGACUAUGUGCAUGAUUACUACUCACUUGAGCAUUUCAAGGCUACAUAUCAGUUUGUGGUAAAUCCAAUGGUUGAUGUCAGAGUGGCGUGUGGGUGAUCCUGGAUUUGAGAUGUUGCCUCCAAAGCUAGAAAGGUCAGCAGGUAGGCCAAGAGUGAAAAGAAUCAAGAAUAGAGGUGAGCCAGGUAAAAGAGGACCUUACUAAUGCAAAAGAUGUUUUCAGUUUGGACAUAUUGAGAAGGGAUGCCGUGAGCCCCCUACAGAACUUGGUGCUGAAUUACCACCUUCACUUCCUGACAAAUCUAGGUAAACUAAAACUCCCUUUAUUUUUGGGGUUACUUUUGUUACUAUGAUUUCUAUGUAAGGCUGCAUAAUGGCUUACUUCUGUUGUGUAGGAAAAGGAAAGGAGAGACUUCAAAAUCCAAGAAAGGAUCCAAGAAAACUUCAAAGAAGACCAAGAAGGCUAGUGCAUCAAGCACCUCUACUUCGUUAGUACCUCAAGAACCAGCUACCACCUCCACUUCUUUGGUCACUCAAGUACCAGUUAGUCCAGGACCAAUAAUAAGAAGGAUGGCUGCUUCUACUUCUACUCCAACAAGACCAUUCACCAUUGAGUCCAGGACCUACAACUAGAAGAAUGGCUGCACAGUUAGACAUAUCACUAGGAGGUAUUGCUAGGAGGCACAUCAUAAGCUAGUCCUUGAAAAAAUGUUGCUGCUAUGUUCUUUUGUUCAGUGCAAAGUAGUCUGAUCCUAAAUUAGACCUUUGUUGGAAGUGUUGAUGUGUUGAAAUAACCGUGUAUUGCACUGUUGGUAUGGUCAAAUUAGACUGGGUUCUUGCUGUUUCAAUUCUGUAAGAUAUUGAACCACUUGUAUGCUUAAAUUAGUUCCAAAACAGUAUGCUUUUGGAUCUGAUGACAUUAAGCACCUGUUGCUGUUGGUGUUACCA